UCAAACUAAAUUUUUGAGCCCGUUACAAUUGAUCUUCCAAAAUGUGAAUGAGAGUUUUAUUAGUAAAAGUUUUAAAUAAAAUAAAAAUAUUCCAAAUGGCCUUCACAUUUGUCAUAAUUUUAUAAAGGUUGAUUUAUCAACAUUGAAUGAGUGUUCGAUGGUCGGUUAUGGGUCAGUGUGCUUUUUCAUUACAAAAGUAGAUUGGUUGUCCAUCUUAGAAUUUUUUUAGUGUUUAACAGGCAUAUGACCCAAGAGGUCCUAUACCUCUCUACAUAGGUUGAUAGAUAUAACAAUGACAUCAGGAUGGGUUUCAAAGCUUUAAUAAGUACUGUUCCCACUCUUUGUUAGGACUAGAUUAUCAUUCUCAUUUCUAACUCGUAAAAGUACCCACAUUGUAGCACCCGGAAAGGAGGAAAAAAAAAAAAAAAAAAAAAAAAGGGGAAGGCCACGUCAGCAAGCCCGGUCAGCACCCGGCCAACCAGGGCCUGCCACGUGGCAAGACCGCGUCACUCCAAAAGGAGCCACGUUGGCGAUCCGCGUGGGUGCGAUCCGACGGCCCAGAUCAAUCACGCGAUCGGACGGCCCAGAUUCAAUCAAAAACGAACGGCCCAGAUUAAAACAAAAUGAACGGCUGUGAUCAAAAGGCAAGGGGUUAUAAAUAGAACCCCCACACCAGACCACAAACCCUAGCCGCCAGCCGCUCGCCGGAGAAGACGAACCAGAGACCGACCGCUGCCACCCGCCGCCACUCGCCGCCGCACCGGGGAAAUUUCCGACCGCCGAUCGAGGUAAAUUUCAUACCCCCGACUCGUUUUUCCCCACUGAUUCCUCCUAUGCCCAAAUCGAAGCCGAAAUCCCGGCCAAACGGCCGGAAUACGCGGCCGAAGCCCAGCGGCGCCGCCGCGCCCCCUCUCGGUUUUUGCCUCCGACGAGGCCCUUCCCGGCCUCCGUUCGAUGCAAUUUUUAUAUCACCGUGAUCACCAUUCUUUUCUCUACAGGUUGACCGGAGCCGAAUCACCAAAACACGAACCUCGCCGGAGAGCCGCUGCACCCGAGAGCGCCGCCGCC
rnacentral:lncRNA from 1 species